rnacentral:misc_RNA from 1 species
CAGGACUCGCAAGACUCCUUAAACCCCUGUGAACUUACUGUUUAUACGUUGCUUCGGCGGGUGCUCCGGGGUCCGCCCCGGGGCGCUGCGCCCGCCGGACAGCCUACUUAAUUCUGUUUCUCUGCGUUGGCAUCUCGAGUAAGCAAAAUAAGUUA